rnacentral:lncRNA from 1 species
UAUAUAUAUAUAUAUAUAUAUAGAAUUAGGUUGGAAUACUAUUAAUAGUAAAACGUUUCUUUUGCUAUCAAGUUUUUAAUCUUUGGAUGAAAAUUAUAGGGUCAGUAUGAUAUUAGUUGGUUAGAGUUGAGUGGUCCCCCUAGGGUUGAGUGGUCCCCACUGGGUUAUAGUAUUUAAUCCAAUGGUUAUAAAUAAUGAAAAGAGUUGAUCCAAAGGCUAAAAAACUGAUAGCAACAAUAGAAUUUUGCUACUAAUAGUAGCCCAGUCAAACUCUCUCUCUCUCUCUCUCCCUAUAUAUAACUCGUGACUAGUAUUCAAAAUGUUCAAAUUUACUCUGAAAUUAUCAAUAUAUCCUUCUAAAAUUCAAUCCCAUUAGUAAACCCUAAAAAAAAUAAAAAUAUUUGAAGAAUUAUUUUUUAAAAUCAACUAGAGUAUUUUGGUCCUAUAUGGAUAAAAAGAUAUUUGUUAAGUUUUAAAAGGUAUAUUAGAUAUUAUCCCUAUAUAAAAAAGGNCUAUAUAUAUAUAUAUAUAUAUAUAGAGUAGGGCGACUAUAUUCUCUUAUUAGUAUAGAUUCUUUUGUACUCAUAAGUUGUUUUUAAUGAUGGAGCUGCCGAACCGACGAUUCACUCCGUUAAAUAUGAUUUAGAGUAUUUAAAACUUCUAAAAAUAAAUUUCGUAAUUUUUCGAAAUCAUAAUAAAUUUCAUCAAGCGGGUAGAAAAUGAACGGUCAAAAUUCAACGGCGUCCUAAAAAUGGAUGAUUAGAUCCUUCAAUUAAGAUCGGAGCUAUUGGCCUUUAUCUAGAUAAUGAAUAGAAUUUUUUAUCAAAAAUUCAAUCGAUUCCCUUUUUUUUACACCGUUAAACUAGCAAGUAUCUCAUGUCGCCAUUAAAAAUUGUCAAUUUUGAGAUCUUUUGAUUGUAAGAUAAAUGAUGUCAAAAAAUUAUAAAAUUUGAUUUCUAAAAAUUUUAAAUACUCUAGAUAAUAUUUAACGGUAUGAAUCGUCGAUUUAAAAAUUCUAUCAUUGAAAACAGCUUAUGAGAACAAAGCCGAUAUGAGAACAAAGCCGAUAAUACUCAUAAGAGUAUAGUAGCCAGACUCUCUCUCUCUCUAUAUAUAU